GCUGGACUUGGAGGCAUGCGCUUGUAGCCUUAGCUACUUGAAAGGCUGAGGAGGGAGGAUUGCUUGAGCCCAGGAGUUCUGAGCUGUAGUGAGCUAUGCCAAUUGGCAUCAAUAUGGUGACCUCCCUGCCACAAGGGACCACCAGGUUGCCUGAGGAGGGGUGAACCAGCUCAGGUUGGAAAUGGAACAGGUCAAAAUUCCCAUGAUGAUCAAUAGUGAGAUCAUGCCUGUGAAUAGCCAUUACACUUCAGCCUGGGCGACAUAGCAAGAACCCCCCCCCC
ensembl:misc_RNA Metazoa_SRP Metazoan signal recognition particle RNA